UUCAUGCCAAAUCAGUGACUUCAGUAAUUAUGAAAGAAACCGGACACAGGCGUGGAACCUUCUCCAAUUAUUUUCCAUUACUAAGCUCUUUGGAGUCGUUUGUGAAAGCAGUAAACAAACAAAACUAGAAGCAUUAGGAAUAUGUUUUUUUGUUCAUUAUUUUAAAUUCUUUACUUUCUUGAAGAACCUUAAAAGCAGCUCUUUGAAUGAAUUCACAUGCUCACAUUUUCUUACCUGCUCCUUUUAGCUGCUAUUUUUUCCCCCCAUAGCUGAUGUUUAAGACUUGAAAUCUAGUUCUGCUUGUUGGUAUAUACACAAAACAUAACUUUUGUCAUACAGAAUUUAAUCUAUAAUAAUUCUGUGUAACAUUCUAUUACACAGAGUUUAUGUCACAAGCAGUGGAAGUGGGACCUUGGGUCACAGUAGCCCUUGGGUUCAUAGUGCCAUCAAUUGGAACAACUGUGUGGGGAGGUGAUCACUAACAAAGAUCAAGAUGGACUAACUGGUGAGUAGAUGAUGUAGUCAGGGAGCCAAGAAUGUGUGUGUCUCUGGAAGAGAUACUGCAGUUGACGCUGGUUAUCAAAGGGACCAUGGGAGCUAAGCCAGUAACCAGGUGACUGAAGAGUCUGGGUAACAUUUAAGACCAGCUUAUCUAUGGGAGUUUGCAUGUGAGCAUAUACUUACGUUAAAAAUUUUAUGGUGUGGAUGAUACUGGACCAUAACUUCUGUCUGAUUUGGAUUACACAUAUAGUUUUAUACACCAAUGCCCAAAUGCACAAACCUGUGUAUCCAUAUCCAUAAUUACGGCACCAGAUAGCCUUUUCUAAUAACUUUCAACUUUCAGUCUCAGAGUAGAGCAGUAAAUAUCACUGGCUUCUCCACAAUAAAAAAUGGAUUUGUUGUUUUUCUUAGUGUUCAUCCUUACUACUUUAGACAUGUGAACAAAUUCUGUAUCUCUUCCUUCCAGAUUUUCUUAUGUCCCUCCAUCACAGCACAUCCUCUGCUUUCUCAUAACAGCAUCACUUUCUGCUUUAAAACGCCUGACACAAAAGCUGCAUUCACCUGUACAGUAACCUCCCCAUUCUCUCAUUUUAAACUAAACUUCUGCUCCUAACACAUGCUUCAAGGUGCUAGUUCACUGCCACCAUUUUUGUUGCUGUUGUUCAGCAGGCCCUCCUGAACCAGGGAAUGUCACCAAAAUCGCUCCUUCUCCCAGAUUUCCAGCUGAAUCAAAAUUUCUUUUCCCCUGUACUUCCUUUAUUUUUAUUUUUUAAUAUUUAUUUAUUUAUUUAUUUAUUCUUGUAAUCGAUGUUUCAGUUCUGGCUAUGCCACACUGAAGAGGCAAUAUCUCUUGUUAAAAAUGUGUCUCCACUCUAUUUGGCCAUCUAUGGGGAAAAGAAAAUCAUACUAAAAAAAAUGACUGUGAAAGUCUCAGAAAUGUCUCUGAGUCUUCUCACCUUCUCACUUCUUUGUGAUAUACAUUAAAGGUUUUGUUUGUUUGUUUGUUUGUUUUGGUUUGGUUUUUUUUUGCUCUAAGAUCAAAUUUUCUGGGAAAAGAGGUUUGUUUGUUUUUCACAAACACUUUUUUGACAAUACACAAAUAAAACAACUGCACAAAAGUUGUAAGAUAACAGAUCCUUUUCCAGACACCUCAACCUCAUUCAUGUCAUAGUUUGAUAACUUCUCCAUUUGAGAUGGGUGAAAUUUUCAUUAGAGGGAAUGCUCUGUUUGGGAUGAGACAGCACAAGUCUACCCUGCUCUAUAUCCUGGACAAGUAAAUAUAUCACGAUAUGUGAACAGUCUUCUUCAUCAUAUUUCACUCUCAACAGUCUUCUCUUUCCUCCCAGUGCUGUGAAUAUUCCAUUUGGUGCAUUCCCUGCACCAGCCUGGGCAAAGAAUACUCAUCUCCAAUUCAAGAAUAAUUAUUAUCUAAAUAAAUAAAUAUCUUUGUGGGAGGAUGGAUAGCAGAGAAUGAAUAAAUAAAAUGUGGGUUUUUUUUGUUUGUUUGUUUGUUUGUUUUUCUUGGAGGUGCUUUCAUGUUAAUUAUUUAUAAUGUAGUUGUAUUGGAGAAUCUCACUUGAAUAUUAACUUCUGUAUAUUUGCAGCAUAUUGUCAAAACUGAAGGCUUAUCCCAGCAUCUUUAGUG
ensembl:lncRNA